UUCCUUCUGCCUAAAAAGAGUACAGGGAAGAGCGGGGAAGACGUUGUCUUGCAUGUUGGAUACCAUGUUAGCCACAUCAAGAUAGGGCACCUAGGUUAGAGUCAUGAGGACCCCAUUCCAGGUCCUGGCUCCCAGAUAACAUUUCUAGACAUGCCCUGAGCCAGAGGGGAACCCCUCUGCCUUGAAGGAAAUACCCAGUCCUGCCAUCAUUCAUCGCCUAAUAACUGAAAAGCCCUUGGGCUAUGAAUAACCAGCAGCGAUAAACAGAAUGGAGACUGAUUCAAGUUGCCUGGAGAAAUGGAGCUUACUGUAAGGCUGCACACAUCCAUCGUAAGGGAGAUGGGCAUCAGAGGAAAAGAAGUAAUACUGGUUAUUAACUAUCCAAUUGCUUUUCUUUCCCCCAGCAGCAAGAAGAGUUCAGGGAACCAUAGUAUUUCUUCACUAACAUGAUGCUCGAGACCAAGAGGAUAUUGAUCUCCAAUUAAAGUCAUUAGGAGUAUCCUCAGUUUUAAAUCUAAGAAAAUUCUCAUCCUUUCAAAUAUUAUUGGUAUAUUUUAACAAGUCUCUCAAAUACAGAUUAGGCAAUAUUGCUCCAGAGAUAGAAACUACUGUGAAUGGCUUUAAUUGAAGAUAUAUGGGGAUAAUUUUAAUGUAUGACAUUUGGGGUAAUUAAGGCAGAGUAGUAUUGGGUGAGGGGAAAGAGGGUGUUUAGGGAAAGAAGCUUCAGACAUGUCAAAUGGGCUCCUACAGCUGUCUUUCUUACACAUAUGUGCAUAAGAUUGAGUAGUUUACCUUGCUCAUGGUAAUUCCAUGCCAGAGCUUAGGAAAAUUUUGCAGGACACUUUGACUUGCUUUAGGCAACACUUGUCACCCAUACUGAAACACUCUCCUUGCUAACAGAGAAGAAUAUAAUCCCAAAGUCAUAGACUCUUUUGUUUGACAUAGUCUUGUCUCUCUAAUGAAAAUAAAUAAAGAAAAACCA